rnacentral:tRNA from 1 species
UAAAUUGAAGCCAAAUGUCCAGGCGCUUAGCUGUUAACUAAGAAGUAGAGGGAUAAAUACCUUCCAGUUUAG